rnacentral:rRNA from 1 species
UACGUAGGUGGCAAGCGUUAUCCGGAAUUACUGGGCGUAAAGCGCACGCAGGCGGUCUCUUAAGUUUGACGUGAAAGCUCCCGGCUUAACUGGGAGAGGUCGUUGAAGACUGGGAGACUUGAGGCAAUGAGAGGGGUGUAGAAUUCCCGGUGUAGUGGUGGAAUGCGUAGAUAUCGGGGGGAAUACCAGUGGCGAAAGCGGCACCCUAGCAUUAGCCUGACGCUCAUGUGCGAAAGCGUGGGGAGCAAACAGG